ACCCUCAGCCCAGCGCUCUGCGCAGCCGCGCACACGCACCCACGACCACGUCCCGGGCUCCAACCCACAGCGCCCGCCGCAGGCCCACAGCCGCCGAGCCCGAGUGGGCGGGGCGACGUCGCGCCUGCGCAUUGAUGGCUCCGCCCCCCGGCCGAAGCCUCGCCGCCGAAGCCCCGCCCCGCGCGCCUAACGGACCCCGCCCCGCCUGCCCUGCAGGCCCAGCCCUGCGCGCCUACAGUCCCCGCACCGCCGUCUAAGCCCCGCCCCGACUGGCACCGGACGGGGGACGGCCUCUCCCUCGUCCUGCGUUCCCUGAGGGUCUGGCGCCCCGGCUGUCGGGCGCAUCCCUCCAGGGCACAGUCACCCUAGCAAAGCCCACAUGUACCCUCGGAGAAUGCUUGGAGGAAAAUACGGCAUGUGCUGGUUUCAGCGUUGUGGGGCCUUCCCCUAGCAUCUCAGCCUCCUCUUCCAGCGAGAUGGCAUGUGCUGGUUUCCGCAUUGCGGGGCCCUUCCCCCAGCAUCUCAGCCUCCUCUUCCAGCGAGAUGGCAUGUGAUGGUUUCGGCCUUGCGGGGGCCUUCCCCCAGCAUCUCAGCCUCCUCUUCCAGCGAGAUGGCAUGUGCUGGUUUCCGCGUUGCGGGGCCCUUCCCCCAGCAUCUCAGCCUCCUCUUCCAGCGAGAUGGCAUGUGCUGGUUUCGGCGUUGCGGGGCCCUUCCCCCAGCAUCUCAGCCUCCUCUUCCAGCGAGGUGGCAUGUGCUGGUUUCGGCGUUGCGGGGCCCUUCCCCCAGCAUCUCAGCCUCCUCUUCCAGCGAGGUGGCAUGUGCUGGUUUCGGCGUUGCGGGGCCCUUCCCCCAGCAUCUCAGCCUCCUCUUCCAGUGAGGACUCUGGUCUACAGAUUGGUUUUCACCUGGACGGUGGGUGAGAGGCCGACUGUACCUCUUGAUGACCAAGCUCUUCCCAGGUUCUGUUAAUGCACUCCUCAAGGCAACAUCUUGAGACCCAUCAGCUCCUGUUAUGUUUGUGUCCCCCAGAAUUCGUAUGCGGAAGCUGUAACCCCCAAUAUGGCCGUAUUUGGAGAUGGGACUUCUGAAGAAGUAAUUAAGGUUAAAGUCAGUCACAAGGGUGGGGUCCUGAUCCGACAGGACAGGCAUCCGUAAAAUAAGAGACACCAGAGAGCUCCCUCUCCCAGUCAGUCACGUAGGCACAUAUGAGAAGGCAGUUUUCGCAACCCAAGGGAAGAGCCCUGGACAGGCACCAGACAACCCCAGCGCCUUAAUCUUGGACUUCCAAUCUCCAGAAAUAUGAGACAUUUUUCUUAAGCCUCCCA